ACCCUCUCAGGGUCGCAACUGGAGAGUUUCCGGUACUCUACCAGUCUCGGCUACGGGAGGGAGAGUCAAGCAGAGGCCCGUCCGUUCCAUUCCUAGCUUGGGCCGUGGCUAGCGGGUGGAAGGCCGUCGGCUACAAGU